rnacentral:rRNA from 1 species
UCAAGCGAAGAAGGGCGCAGGGCGGAUGCCUUGGCACUGAGAGCCGAUGAAAGACGUGAUAAGCUGCGAUAAGCUUCGGGGAGGAGCAAAUAUCCUUUGAUCCGGAGAUCUCUGAAUGGGGAAACCCGGCUGUAUGGACUACAGUCAUCCAUAAGUGAAUCCAUAGCUUAUGGAAGGGAACCCGGGGAACUGAAACAUCUAAGUACCCGGAGGAAGAGAAAGAAACAUCGAUUCCGUAAGUAGCGGCGAGCGAACGCGGAAGAGCCCAAACCGUGAUGCGUGCAUCGCGGGGUUCGGACUGCAUAAGGGAUUCAGUAACGGCAGGAGAACGGCUUUGGAACAGCCGGCCAGAGAGGGUGAGAGCCCCGUAUCCGAAGCCAGAGCUGACCCGGCAGGAUCCAGAGUACCACGGGACACGGGAAACCCUGUGGGAACGAGCGGAGACCACUCCGUAAGGCUAAAUACUACUCAGUGACCGAUAGCGUAUAGUACUGUGAAGGAAAGGUGAAAAGAACCCCGGGAGGGGUCCGGCGAGCUGCGGGUACUGGCAAGGUUAAGCACUUCAGGUGCGGAGCCGUAGGGAAACCAAGUCUUAAGAGGGCGUUUUAGUCAGUACGUGCAGGCCCGAAACCGGGUGACCUAUCCAUGUCCAGGUUGAAGCCGCCGUAAAAGGCGAUGGAGGACCGAACCCACAUCCGUUGAAAAGGGUGGGGAUGAGGUGUGGAUAGCGGAGAAAUUCCAAUCGAACCCGGAGAUAGCUGGUUCUCCUCGAAAUAGCUUUAGGGCUAGCCUCAUACAAGUCUGCCGGAGGUAGAGCACUGAAUUUCCGCGGGGGCGUCAAAGCCUACCAAAGAAUAUCAAACUCCGAAUGCCGGACAGAUGGUGUAUGGGAGUCAGACUGUACGAGAUAAGUUGGACAGUCAAAAGGGAAAGAGCCCAGACCGCCGGCUAAGGUCCCAAAGUGGGUGUUAAGUGGAAAAGGAUGUGGGAUCUCUAAGACAACCAGGAUGUUGGCUCAGAAGCAGCCAUUCAUUAAAAGAGUGCGUAACAGCUCACUGGUCGAGAGGUCCUGCGCCGAAAAUGUCCGGGGCUGAAACACCACACCGAAGCCGCGGAACCCGUAAGGGUUGGUAGAGGAGCAUUCUUAGGGGAGCGAAGCAUUACCGGAAGGGGAUGUGGACCGCUAAGAAGAGAGAAUGCCGGAAUGAGUAGCGAGAGCAAGGUGGGAAUCCUUGCGGCCGAAUAUCCAAGGUUUCCAGAGUAAAGCUGAUCUGCUCUGGGUAAGUCGGGGCCUAAGGAGAGGCAGAGAUGCGUAUCCGAUGGACAGCAGGUUUAAGAUUCCUGCACCCCUUGUUAUCAGAACUGCGGGGACACGGGAAGGGAAGCAGAGCCGGGAAUGGAAAGCCCGGUGCAAGCGAAGGAGUCGCAGGGUUGGAAAAUCCGCCCUGCAUGAGACGAAGGCGUGAUGCGGAGCGAAAUGAAGUAGUGAAGCUGCGGCCCCUUCCUGUCGAGAAAAGCCGCUAUCGUGUAGCAAGGGCCCGUACCGUAAACCGACACAGGUGGAUGAGGAGAGGAUCCUAAGGCCGGCGGGAGAAGUGUUGUUAAGGAACUCGGCAAAAUGACUCCGUAACUUCGGGAGAAGGAGUGCUGCGCAAGCAGCCGCAGAGAAAUGGCCCAAGCAACUGUUUAGCAAAAACACAGGUCUAUGCGAAACCGGAAGGUGAGGUAUAUGGGCUGACGCCUGCCCGGUGCUGGAAGGUUAAGGGGAGAGCUUAGCGCGAGCGAAGGUUUGAACUUAAGCCCCAGUAAACGGCGGCCGUAACUAUAACGGUCCUAAGGUAGCGAAAUUCCUUGUCGGGUAAGUUCCGACCCGCACGAAAGGCGUAAUGAUUUGGGCACUGUCUCAACAACACACCCGGUGAAAUUGAAAUACCAGUGAAGAUGCUGGUUACCCGCGCCAGGACGGAAAGACCCCAUGGAGCUUUACUCCAGCCUGAUACUGGGAUUCGGUAUUGCAUGUACAGGAUAGGUGGGAGGCUGAGAACUCAUGGCGCCAGCCGUGAGGGAGCCGGUGUUGGGAUACCACCCCUGCAGUACUGGGUUUCUAACCUGCGCCCGUGACCCGGGCGGGGGACAAUGUCAGGCGGGGAGUUUGACUGGGGCGGUCGCCUCCGAAAGGGUAUCGGAGGCGCUCAAAGGUCUCCUCAGGAUGGUUGGAAACCAUCCAGAGAGUGCAAAGGCAGAAGGAGGCUUGACUGCGACACCGACGGGUGGAGCAGGUACGAAAGUAGGACUUAGUGAUCCGGUGGCAUAAAGUGGGAUUGCCAUCGCUCAACGGAUAAAAGCUACCCUGGGGAUAACAGGCUUAUCACUCCCAAGAGUUCACAUCGACGGAGUGGUUUGGCACCUCGAUGUCGGCUCAUCGCAUCCUGGAGCUGGAGCAGGUUCCAAGGGUUGGGCUGUUCGCCCAUUAAAGCGGUACGCGAGCUGGGUUCAGAACGUCGUGAGACAGUUCGGUCCCUAUCCGGCGCGGGCGCAGGAUAUCUGAGAGGAGCUGUCCUUAGUACGAGAGGACCGGGAUGGACCGUCCGCUGGUGGACCGGUUGUCAUGCCAAUGGCACGGCCGGGUAGCCAAGACGGGAAGGGAUAAACGCUGAAGGCAUCUAAGCGUGAAGCCCCCCUCAAGAUGAGAUAUC